UCCCUAUCCCUGAUGUGUCGG
rnacentral:siRNA from 1 species